GACGAACGCUGGCGGCGUGCCUAAUACAUGCAAGUCGAGCGCAGGAAGCCGUCUGAACCCUUCGGGGGGACGACGGUGGAAUGAGCGGCGGACGGGUGAGUAACACGUAAAGAACCUGCCCAUAGGUCUGGGAUAACCACGAGAAAUCGGGGCUAAUACCGGAUGUGUCAUCGGACCGCAUGGUCCGCUGAUGAAAGGCGCUUCGGCGUCGCCCAUGGAUGGCUUUGCGGUGCAUUAGCUAGUUGGUGGGGUAACGGCCCACCAAGGCGACGAUGCAUAGCCGACCUGAGAGGGUGAUCGGCCACACUGGGACUGAGACACGGCCCAGACUCCUACGGGAGGCAGCAGUAGGGAAUCUUCCACAAUGGACGAAAGUCUGAUGGAGCAACGCCGCGUGAACGAUGAAGGCUUUCGGGUCGUAAAGUUCUGCUGUAAGGGAAGAACAAGUGCCGCAGGCAAUGGCGGCACCUUGACGGUACCUUGCGAGAAAGCCACGGCUAACUACGUGCCAGCAGCCGCAGUAACAC
rnacentral:rRNA from 1 species